GCCUACGGGGCGCAGCAGUGAGGAAUAUUGGUCAAUGGCCGAGAGGCUGAACCAGCCAAGUCGCGUGAGGGAUGACGGCCCUACGGGUUGUAAACCUCUUUUGUCGGGGAGCAAGACCCGCCUCGUGCAGGCGGAGCGAGAGUACCCGAAGAAAAAGCAUCGGCUAACUCCGUGCCAGCAGCCGCGGUAAUACGGAGGAUGCGAGCGUUAUCCGGAUUUAUUGGGUUUAAAGGGUGCGCAGGCGGCGAGUUAAGUCAGCGGUAAAAUUUCGGGGCUCAACCCCGUCGAGCCGUUGAAACUGGCUU
rnacentral:rRNA from 1 species